ACCUAGCCCCGAUAAGAGCGGUAUACUUUUUAGCCGCUUUUUCGGCGGCUAAAAAGAUACAAGCGGAUAGCGGGACAGGUC
rnacentral:sRNA from 1 species